UUACGGCCAUAUCACUUUGAAACACCAGUUCCCGUACGGUAACCGAAGUUAAGCAACGUCAAACCUAAUCAAUACUGAGGUGGGUGAUAACCUGAGAAUACUAGAUGAUGUAAG